GCAUGUCAGUGUGGGUAAUACACGCGCAAACGUGCGUGUUAAAGUUCUUCAGACAGAGAAAAGAUUUUACUUCUGAACCAGGACCUUAUCAAAGGAAGGCAGCACAGAGCCAACUCCCCGAGGCUUUGGAGCGUCACAAGUCGUCCAGACCCUGACCACAUGCCUACAUCCAUGAAGUUGCUGCCAUGUCAUUGGCCGAUCUUAUAUUUGUGUCAAUGAGCAGAUGAACAGGUGUACCUAAUAAAGUGGCUGUGUGUGUGUGCAACAGCAAAUCUUUCUUGUUUUCUUUGCACAGCAGAGGAAUCCAGUUGAUUACACUGACAUCCUGCCAGCCACUUCCUGCACGCCAUGAGCGUGUCUGAAGUUUGAGUCCAGAUCGUCUCCGACACAAUCUUUGAAGAAAGUUUCACUGCCAGGUGUCAUAAAGCUGUAUGAUAGCAGAUGUACUGUAUGUGUGUGUGUGUGUGUGUGUGUGUGUGUGUUUGUUGUUGUGUGGGCAUGUGUGAGUAUGAAGAAGUCAUUCAUAGCCCCUGUUUACACUGCAGGGCUCUGGAAGACCAACAUCGCUGCCACAAAUCCAAACAAUCCCGCGCCCAAAAUGCACAAAAACCUCCAACACUCUGCAAAGGGAAGUGCCAGCAGCAGUCGACACGACACAAUCACACACCGGGACAUUCAGGGGGCACUCGGCCUCCCAAAUUAAAGCCAUGGAAUAUGCAGCCACACUGUUAUCUGCACACUAAUGCCUUUAAAGUUUGGGAUAUAAAAGGGUUUUAAAAUGUCAUUUUUGAUGUGGAGGACUAUCUAACAUUCAGGAUAAGAUGAUUUAUCUUUGUUCAAAUCAAAUUAGGCUGCACAUAUCACAGCAAAAGAAAGACGUUUCGCUGACACGCAGGAAUCUUCCUUCAUGCUUCGCUCCGUCUGCAGCUCGGGCUUUCCACUUAUACAGGAUGUAGUUAAUUAAUCUGUUUUCUGUGAACAAAACUUCUGUGAUCAACAACAAUUCAGUCAAAAUAAAAGAUGCUAUCUUUUA